CAUCGUUCGUUCCUAUACUCAGCCAUCCUUCCAUCGCUCCUCUUCUCUCUAUUGUUCCAUCUGUCGAACCUCCAUCUCCAUCCUUAUCAAGGUCUUUGUUUCGACCUGACACCUCGUCGUCGAACCCUAGAUCGUCAUGCUCUCGUUCGACCUCAAUCUCCGUCGAACCCUAGGUCCUUCAUUUAAGCCCAACACCUCCAUCUCCGUCAAACCCAAAAUCUCGUGAUUCUCGGUAUACUUGGAACAGAAAUUCUCAUUUUCUCUACUUUUCCUAAAUCAUGACCACAAAUUUUGUUUCAAUCCUGGACCUGUACAAGGGAAGUCCUGAACUCCAUGGAUUAUUUUGAUAAGCACAUUAAACAGUUGAAAACACUCAUAAGCUUAAUUACAGCAUAGAUAGGGGAACUUCUUUCAAUUUUAAGCUUGGACAUGUACAAGGUGAAUUGCCACCGUUUUGAUUGGGUUUAUUUUUUAAUUUCAUUGAUUCAUAUUAUAUGGGACUGUUAAUUAUUGAUUUGAUUGAUGA